GCCAGGCCGCUGCACUUCCGCGAGCGGCAACUUAAUUAGGAGACUACGGAUAUGGCCAAUGGCACCGUAAAAUGGUUCAACUCUACUAAAGGCUUCGGCUUCAUCGCACCUGAAACUGGCGGCAAAGACGUGUUUGUACACAUCUCGGCUGUUGAGCGUUCGGGCCUGACCGGUCUGGCUGACGACCAAAAAGUAACAUUCGACGUUGAAGCUGGCCGUGACGGUCGCGAGUCGGCUGUGAACAUCGAACUGGCAUAAGCCUUUUCGAAUACAGUUUUGAAACGCGGUUCUCAUCCGAGAGCCGCGUUUUG
rnacentral:misc_RNA from 1 species